CCCGCCGUCGCCAUGGCAGCCGCGACCCCUGACCCCGUGUUAUUGUAGGGUCGCCCCGUCGCCCCCCCGCUGCUGCGGGUCCCCGUGUACCCCCGGUUACUGCAGGGUGACCCUGUGACCUCGCGGUGUUACUGUGGCGCCUCCCUCGCCCCUCCCCUGCUGCGUUACUCGGGGUCCCGGGGCCCCCCCGGCACCGCAGGGUCGCCCCCUGCCCCCCCCGGUGUCACCCCGCCUCAGGAGCCAGUGCAGUUGCCAACACCUUUAUUGGGGACACUGGGGGGGACACACGCGUCCCCAGGGCCGCCCCCAGCUCACACCGGGUCCCCCCGGCCCCCCCGUCACCCCCCCGGUGUGGGACGGCAGAGCCGGACACAGCCCCGCGCCCCGGCGGCCGCGGCUGCGGCUCCGCUCAGCUCCUCGUCCUCGUCCUCAUCGUCCUCGUCGGAGUCUUCAUCAGCCCGUAACGAGGCGGGACCGUCCCGCGGGUGCCCCCGUCCCGCCGCCGGCGCUACAUCAGCCGGCACUGCUCGCCCGCCGCCGGCAGGUCCAGGUUGAAGCCGGGGGGCUGCGGGGGGGGGUGGGGGUGAGCCGGGGCACCGGGGGGCCCGGGCAGAGCCCCCCCUCCCGGGGACACUCACCGACUCCCCAGCCAGCUCCUUGGGCGGGUGCCCCAGGUCCUGCAGCUGCGGGGAGACACGGGCAGAGGGUCAGGGUGGCACCGGGGGGUCCGCACGUGCCCCCCCCCGUCCCCACUCACCUGCUGCAUGAGGUCAAGGAGGGUCUCGAAGCGCGCCCGCCGCUCCUCCUCGCCCUCGCCCGGCCGCUCGCCCUCCAGCUGCCGGCAGAUGCGGCCCAUCACACCCAGCUGCGCCCGGUACCGCUCGUACUGCUCGGCCGGCAGCGCGGGGCCGUGCCGCCGCAGCCACUCGGGGUACUGCGGGGGGCGGCGGGGUCACGCCGAGGCCGCCGCACGCCCCCCGCCCCGCCCCGCCGCCGGGACCCCCCCCACCUUCUCGGUGAUCUCCUUGAGCGAAGGGUAGAGCACGUCCCUGGAGAGGAGGCUCUGCAUGAUGCUGCGCAUGACGGGCAGGACGCUGCCCUCGCCCUCGCCCUCCUCCAGCCCCAGCCCCUCCAGCGCCUUCGCCAGCUCCUCCUCCGAGGCCGAGGAGCUCUGCAGGGACAGGGACACCCUCAGCCCCCCGCGGGACCGGGGCACCCCCGGGACACCCCGCCGGGGGGGGGGGNCAGGCCGCUCAGCGUCUCCCUCAGGCAGGAGGUGAACUCCUGCUGCGACGCCGCGUCGCUGCCUGCGGGCGCCGGGGGACGCCGGUGGGGGACGGGGACACGCCGGGCACCCGCAGGCCCUCGCGGAGGCCCCCCGGGGCGUCCCCCGAAAGCCCCCACCCCCGGGCUGGCGGCGAGGAGGCUCGGGGAGCACCCGGCCCCCCGCCGCCCACGCCCCCGAGGCCCGUCCCGUCCCGGCGGGUGCUCCCCCGGCCGCGACACGCCCCGUCGCCGUGUCCCCGUCGCCCCGCACGCCCCCGCUCACCCACUCUGCCCGCGGCCUCCGACAGCUUCUGGAACUGCUCCACCAGGUGCGGCUCCUCCCGCGCCAGCUCCUGCAUCGCCUGCUCGAACUCGGCGGCCGCCUGCGAGGCCAAGUCCCCCUCGAAGAGCUCCUGGAAGAACCGCUCCUGCGCGGCGAAGAGCGAGGCCUGGGGACAGGGGCAGGGUCAGGCCCCCCCGCGCCCGCGGGGUCCCGGGGGCCGGGCGGGGGCGGCCGCCGCGUCCCGGCAGCGUCGCACCUUGGCGGCGGCGCUGGGCGAGGGCUGAGCCCCGGGGGGGGGCGGCGGCGGCGGGGGGGCGGCGGGCCUGGCCUUCUCGAAGUCGUCCAGGGCACCUGGGGAGGGGCUGGGCUGAGGGGACCCGCGG
rnacentral:lncRNA from 1 species